UUACACUUAGUGAAAUUUUUGUAAAUUCCCUCCAAAGGUCAUCACUCACCUCCAAAGCGCCUUCAUCCCUGCAUUGAUCGUCAAGAAACCCUCUCACCACUCACCAUCGCCACUGACCACUCACCAUUGCGCAGAAACCCUCUCACCAACGCAAAGAAACCCACUCAUCACCACUCAACACUGACCGUCACUCCUGUUCGCCCUCAUCUCUGUGCUUCUCACCUUCGCCAUUCUCACCGUCGCUAUUGCUGCACUGACCAUCGCUCUUUUUCUCCGUUCUACCCUAAUCUUGUUCUGCGUGCCCUAAUCGCUAAUGACCGUCGCUGUUCUGACCAUCGUUGUUACUGUACCACCGUCACCAUCGUCAUCUCCGUACUUCUAAUCAUCAUCUUCUUUGUGCUCACAUCGUUGAAUAUGGUGAAGUGGAUGCUAUUUUUGUUAAUGCUAUACUAGCUGUGUGGGGUUCAGCAACGGAAUUUUGAGGCAAGUUCUAGCUGUGUGAUCCCCCAAGAAGUCAGUGCUCACCGCCUCACCCACCCAGGCUCUACCGUCAUCUUCUAACUGCUUCUCACUGUUCACCCAGCACCACCAGUAUCUGUUGUCUUUGCUGCCGCUCCUCUGUUUUGCAGCCUCUGAGCCACGAACUCCAUCGCCGCUUCUUGAGGCUAUCUUCAACGGGUAGUGUGAAGUCAUUGCUUUGUGAAAUAGCCUACAUGGCCUCCUGGUGACGAACAACUCUUUCUCCGAAGAAAUUGAGCACAGAGAUCUUCAGGAUGUUUAGGGGGGGAGAAAAAGUACAAAAGGUAGACAAGAAAUCACGUGGUGUAUUGAGAGUAAAGCAAAGCUGAAUAAGGUAGGGUGUAACUUUAACCAUCAUUCUAUUUUAUUUUACUUAUUAAUUUAUUUUGGCCUUACUUAAUGCCAGCUAAGAUGUUAAGUGGAAGUUUGGUACACUUAAGAAGUUCUGUUUUAGGAUUUGAACUAGUAUUCGUAUGCUGAAACUAUAUGUGGCUUGAAUUCAGCUCCUGUAGUUUUUCCUUUUAAAUAACAAAAUGAUAAAGAUAUUAUAUUGUGGCUCUUUUUUUGCAGUGAACAUGGGAAAUCAAAGACUGCAUUUGUGACAUUUAAAUAUCCCAAAGCGCUUGAAAUUGCAUUAUUGUUACCAAUAAAAAUACUUACUUAAAUCUGAUAAUAAAAUUUGUUGAUUACGAAUGUCAUUAUGAAUAUUUUUCUAACUACUUUUC